AAAAGACUAGUUAAACCAUAACACCAGACUGUCAGACUGGAAUUACUAGCCCCCAACCCUAGUGUCUUUUG
rnacentral:tRNA from 1 species